CAAUAGCGUAUAUUAAAGUUGUUGCAGUUAAAAAGCUCGUAGUUGGACUUCUGGUUGAAGCGACCGGUCGGGCGUUGAUUCGUCUGCACUGGAGUCGGUUUUGGCCAUCCUCUAGGAAAGUGCGUCUGGUAUUAAGUUAUCGGGCGUAUGAUCCUGGUCUUUUACUGUGAAAAAAUUAGAGUGUUUAAAGCAGGCCUUCGCCUUGAAUACAUUAGCAUGGAAUAAUAAGAUAGGACUUUGGUCUAUUUUGUUGGUUUGCAGACCGAAGUAAUGAUUAAUAGGGAUAGUUGGGGGUAUUUAUAUUCCGAUGUCAGAGGUGAAAUUCUUAGAUUUUCGGAAGAUAAACUUAUGCGAAAGCAUUUACCAAGGAUGUUUUCAUUAA
rnacentral:rRNA from 1 species